rnacentral:rRNA from 1 species
UACGGGGGGGGCAAGCGUUGUUCGGAAUUACUGGGCGUAAAGGGCUCGUAGGCGGCCAACUAAGUCAGACGUGAAAUCCCUCGGCUUAACCGGGGAACUGCAUCUGAUACUGGAUGGCUUGAGAUUGGGAGAGGGAUGCGGAAUUCCAGGUGUAGCGGUGAAAUGCGUAGAUAUCUGGAGGAACACCAGCGGCGAAGGCGGCAUCCUGGACUGGUCCUGACGCUCAGGAGCGAAAGCGUGGGGAGCGAUCCGG